rnacentral:rRNA from 1 species
GACCUUCGGGUCUAGUGGCGCACGGGUGCGUAACGCGUGGGAAUCUGCCCUUGGGUUCGGGAUAACAGUUGGAAACGACUGCUAAUACCGGAUGAUGUCUUCGGACCAAAGAUUUAUCGCCCAGGGAUGAGCCCGCGUCGGAUUAGCUAGUUGGUGAGGUAAAGGCUCACCAAGGCGACGAUCCGUAGCUGGUCUGAGAGGAUGAUCAGCCACACUGGGACUGAGACACGGCCCAGACUCCUACGGGAGGCAGCAGUGGGGAAUAUUGGACAAUGGGCGAAAGCCUGAUCCAGCAAUGCCGCGUGAGUGAUGAAGGCCUUAGGG